rnacentral:lncRNA from 1 species
CAGUGAGCCGAGAUCGCGCCACUGCACUCCAGCCUGGGCGGCAGAGAGAGACUUUGUCUCAAAAAAAAAAAAAAAGAAAAAAACAGUUUACCAUUCUAUCAGAAAAUGUUGACCACCCUCAUAUUUUUGGUAAACUGCAGUAAUUUUUCCUUAAUACUUUUUGCAAGCUUUUGCAUGCAUAAGCUCCAGUAUCACACUUAAUUUUGCUUGCUUGCUCUCUGAAGGGAGUUCGGAUGACCAUUACAGCAAAGUGGAUUUUGCGUUCAAAGUGAUAAGCCAAAUAUCAGGAUUUUCCCAGUUUCUCCGUAGGACUGAUGUUUAGAGGAAAGCCUUCCCUGACUCAAAUAUGUUUCUCCAUAUAAAAAGGGGAAAGUAAAAUGGGUUUUCUUUCUGGUGGUA